UACAGAGGUCCCAAGCGUUGUUCGGAUUCACUGGGCGUAAAGGGUGCGUAGGCGGUCGGGUAAGUCUGACGUGAAAUCUCCAAGCUCAACUUGGAAAUGGCGCCGGAUACUAUUCGGCUCGAGGAGUGGAGGGGAGACUGGAGUUCUCGGUGUAGCAGUGAAAUGCGUAGAUAUCGAGAGGAACACCAGUGGCGAAGGCGAGUCUCUGGACACUUCCUGACGCUGAGGCACGAAAGCCAGGGGAGCAAACGGG
rnacentral:rRNA from 1 species